rnacentral:rRNA from 1 species
AAUCAACGCUGGCGGGUGCCUAACACAUGCAAGUCGAACGAGAAAGUGGAGCAAUCCAUGAGUACAGUGGCGACCGGGUGAGUAACACGUGACUAACCUACCCUCGAGUGGGGAAUAACUCCGGGAAACCGGAGCUAAUACCGCAUAACAUCGCAAGAUCAAAGCCGAAAGGCGCUUGAGGAGGGGGUCGCGGCUGAUUAGCUAGUUGGUAGGGUAAUGGCCUACCAAGGCAAAGAUCGGUAUCCGGCCUGAGAGGGCGCACGGACACACUGGAACUGAAACACGGUCCAGACUCCUACGGGAGGCAGCAGUGGGGAAUUUUGCGCAAUGGGGGAAACCCUGACGCAGCAACGCCGCGUGGAGGAUGAAGUCCCUUGGGACGUAAACUCCUUUCGACCCGGACGAUACUGACGGUACGGGUGGAAGAAGCACCGGCUAACUCUGUGCCAGCAGCCGCGGUAAUACAGAGGGUGCGAGCGUUGUUCGGAAUUAUUGGGCGUAAAGGGCGCGUAGGCGGUGCGGUAAGUCACCUGUGAAAUCUCCUGGCUCAACUGGGAGCUUGCAGGCGAAACUGCCGUGCUGGAGUGUGGGAGAGGUGCGUGGAAUUCCCGGUGUAGCGGUGAAAUGCGUAGAUAUCGGGCGGAACACCUGUGGCGAAAAGCGGCGCACUGGACACAACUGACGCUGAAGGCGCGAAAGCUAGGGGAGC